rnacentral:lncRNA from 1 species
CUACUUAGCAGGUAAUUUCAAAAGUGAUUUAAAAAAUCAUUACAUACUGCUGUACUUUUAUAAAGUUUGUGUAUUUUUUUUAGAAUGUAGGCUCCACGACUUUCUUGUAAGUGUUUUUUCCCAGGAGUCCUUGUUUUCCUGAUUCUAGUGAGAUUGUAAGCUUUGUUUUUAUUGUUUCUGAUUAUGGCUGGUACUUUUAAACUAUUGAUUUUUUUAAAUUUUAGCUUCAAAAUUUCUUCUGCCUAAACAGAUGUUCAACUAAGUAGCAAGAGGCCAGUCUCUGCAACAGGCAGACCUGUAUCUUUCCUCAAAUAAGAAUUCAUUUCAUACCAAUGUAGGAUGUUUUCAUGACCUUAAGAUCUCUAGUUAAAGGGCGCCUCCUCAGAGAGGGCUUCCCUGACCAUCUCCAUCUAAAGUGGCUAUUUAUUCGUUCUACUUUAUCAUCUUCUUUAAUUCUCUGUAUAGUUCUUGUCACUUUCUGGCUUUUUUAAUGGUCUGUCUGUUGCCUGCCUGCCCGCCCACCAAAACCAGAAUGGAAGCUCCCUGAGGGUAGAACCUGGCUUUUCCUCCUUCAGUGCAUGCCAGUGCCUAGAAGAGAGUCUUAGAUGUAGGAACAUCUCAUAAAGCUUAGUGAAUGAAUGGGUUCCGGAGAAUUUGGACAGGUGAUGCUUUUUCUUCAGCCAGGAAAUCACAAUCCCCAAGAUGCUUUUCCAAAACUCUUUGGGAGACUUCAGUCCCUAAGAGUAUGUGCUGUUGACCAUGGCCCACAGUCUAUUCUAUUUCACUCUUAGAAUUAGUAUUACCAGGAAUUAAUUCAGGAAAGUAGUGCUAUUGAGAAAUGAUGUGAAAACAGAGGAUGAAGGAAUGGUUUUCGCUGCCCCAGAAAUAAUCUCCCAGCAGGGGAGAUACCUGUUGGCUUUCUAACUGAUCAGGCCAGACCUUUGGCAGAAGUGGUAAGAGUGGGUGAGGACAUUUUCUUACUGCAUUCCUACCUUCCUGUUGCUUUUCAGAGCUUAGGAGCGGAAUGAUCAAGGCCCUUGCUCAGCCAGCCGCUCUCACGGCUAGUUAGAGGGCAUUCUUACAGGUUGGCAAACUGUUGAUGGAUACUUCUUAUUUCCAGAACUUUAUGUCUUUGUUUGUUUGUUUGUUUGUUUAAAAGGACAUUUGAUCAUGAAGUCUGGAGAAAGAUAAGGAGGUGCCACCACAACCUAGAAGCCCACAGUCCGAUGUUCUCAGUUUUAUAUUUAGCUCAUAUUCAAAAUUGGCUGUAGAGAAUUGUGCUUUAAUGGAUUCAUUCAGGUUUUUCCUCAUUUAAUAAACAUGACUUCUAUAAUAAUAUACUAACAGCAUAUAUCUAGGAGGUAAAAUAGCGGUUGAAAUUUGUUAUUCGUUAUCUUCCCAAGGGCAUUUGAUAUGAACUUCAGUGUUCUAAUUUAUGAGAUGGAAAUAAUAAUAACAACUUCUAGGUCAAAGGUUGUCGUAGAGAUUAAAUGAGAUAAUUGGUAUAAGAUGGAAUAGAGACUCUGACACAAAGUAAGUACUUGUUAAUAUUCUCUAGGAUCGAGGUUGACGCUAUUUUAAUUUCCUCUAUCCUUAAUGUAUUCUGUGGAAAAUGGCAAGAGCCAUGGGAGCCACAUUUAUAAGAGAAAGUUGCAGUUAUUUUUAAAACUAAGCUUCUGUUACCCCUGAUGGUACCUGAGUAUGGCUAAGGGCGGGUACAUUUCUGCCUAUGGGUAUGAGGCAAUGGAGAGCAUUCAGAGAUAUCCCAGAGGGCAGGCCAGCCAAUGGGACAAGGUGAACACCUAGAAGGCAUUGCCUUCAUGGGCCACUAUAACCCAGAUAAGAUCCUUAGCAGAUUUACAUGGCCAUAAAGUGUUGAUUUUGUUGGUUCAUGGAGGGUUGGUCAAACUCCCAAGGGAAAGAAGCCAAAUAUCUAACAUUUUGAGUGCCCAUUACUUGCAAAGUCAUUGGCUACAUCCUUUAUAAAUGCUGUUCCAUUUAAUUCUAACACAGUCCUUUUAGUAGGAAGUGGAGAAAACUUAGGCUCAUAGAGAGUUCCGAUAACUUGUGCAGGGUAAUAAGUGACCUAAUUGGCAUUUGAAUUCAAGUAUGUAUGAUUUCAAGCCCUUGUCCUUUCUAUUACACCCCAUAGUCUCCCCAAAAACUGACAUCUACUAAGCAACUUAACUUGGGCACAAGACUGGCAUAUAAACCAGUACAACAAUGCAUUGUUUUACAAUAGUGUUUUGCAUCUUUUCAGUGAGUUGGAAUACUUAAGUCUGCCAUUUAGGACAUUCACCUGUGAUAAUAAAUUAUUGCUGUUGUUCUGAAACCAAGCUCUAGAGAAGGCAGUGUUAGGCACCGAGGCAAAUCCUUUGCACCUGUGUCCUUACUCCCUCCUUUCCUCCGGUGCUAGAGGGUCUGUUCCCUGUGCCCUUUUUCUGACAUGGGAGUGAUAAGAUCUACUUGAGGUGGAAUUUGUAGUAGAGUAGACACACCUAUUAAUUUACUCUGCUCUGGUUUGUGACUUCUUUGGCCUCUACUUCCUCCACUUGAUCUUGCCUAGGUCACCAGAGUUCUAGAAAGUUCCAGGGGGCCAAAGUCCCAGCUAAAUAAUUUUCUCUCUUGCACACAGCUAGAUAAAUACCACCAAAUCCUUGGUCUUAGAUUCCCUAACUAAAUUCCACAUAAACAAAUCUCCUUUUGCUAAACCAUUUUGUCUUCAGACAAAAUGAGAACUUUCCAGGAUUCUUUCACAUCAGCUCCAUCCUGAUAGCCCCGUCCUGAUGAGAUAGCUUUCCAAUGGCAAUCUUGAUUUAAUAGGACUUCAUUAUUCCUCCAGUUUUUUAACCCUGAAUGUGAAGAUCUUCUUUUUCCAUGGCUUAAAUCUCUAAAUAACUCCCUUAUCCAUACAUUGUGUAUUUAGUGAUCCUACAUCUUCAAUAACAGAGCUUAAUCUUAUUUCCAAGCAAUUAAAUGUUUAGCAUAUUUACAUCUUACCUCAUUAAGUAAAUUUGUUGCUAACACUCUUGUAUAAGUAGAAAGCAACUUAUUUUUUAAAAUAACAUAUUGGGUUUUUAUUAAACAACUUAUUCUUAAUAGACUGUUGUACUAAAUGAUUAUAUAUAGCAAGAAUCUGGGGAAAACUUUAUCUCCAUUCCAGGAGCACUUGUGAUAGAAGGGGCCACUGAUUAGUGGUUUAGGGAAGCAUAUUUAAUUUGGAAAUGCUCUAUGUUAUGGUGACUUAAAAGGGAGGUGGCUGAACUGAAAAUCUCUAAGCUGCUUCUCCAAUAUGGCUUGAACUCUCCUCAUGUUUAUUUAUCAAUACAUAUCAAUAACUUUGGAUUGGGAAUUUAUGACAAUACAUCAAAUGGUUUUUCCUCCUCUUCUUCUUCCUCAUCCUCCAUCUCCUAUUCUUUUAUUCUUAUUUUUAUCCAUAUCCUUAUUCUAAAUCUUCAGUUAUCUUCGCUGUUUAGAACAUAGAUAGAUUGAACUAGAAUGUAUAGGAUUUCUAUAAGCAUGAUAUUUUUGAUAUUAUUAGAUAGGACACAUAAGGAUCUAAGCAAUGUCCUUAAUGCCAGGCUAUCAGGAGUAUCUGUCUGAAAUCUUUACAGUGCUAUUUCUCACUUUUUAUGUAGUGUGAGUUACAAUGAUGAGAACGUGUGGUUGCUGACUUUGGAGGGAAUUAUGAAAGCUAGUAAGUGAAAGGAGGUUGAAUCAAAAAGACAGUUCAUAAAAGCACAAACCUUUGCUAGGCUUGGGGCAUCACUUUUACUCACUCCUCUGACCCUAAUGUGCACCACAGAUCAUCAAAAUAUCCUAAGAUUGUGUAGACAGAUCAGUCUAUGGCUUUACUUUAUUACUCCCAAGUCCUCAGAGUGGCUAGAGCUGCUAAGAAAAGGUCUCCUAACACUUUAGAAUUUAAAACUUCUGCAAAAGCAAAGGGCCCUGAUUUAAAAAAAAAAUACUAAAUUACCACUGCUAAUUACUAAUGUGAUUCUAGAAUGUUUCAGAAACGUUUUCUCAUCAAAAGUUUUCAAUUUAGUUUUUACACAAUUUUGUUUUUCCUGGGCAAGAAUUCUGCAUUUUAUAAUGGAAUUUAAUGGGAAACUUGGCUCUGCUAAAUUGUCCUUAUUCCAUAAGAUAGGAUGGCUAUACCAUAAUGCCCUAACAAAUACACCACUUCUGUCCCUGGUAGAGAAAUGAACCCAACCCUAAAUAUCUAUUUCAUAUAACUACCCACCUAGCCCAAAACUAUACUGUUAAUCAAACAGAUUUGUGUAUUUAGUUAACUGAAAAUUUUCCAACAGUUUAGGCUGGCGCCUCCUGGUUGGGAAAUUAAUACCGUUGUUUUCCGGAGUUCCCGUCAUGGCUCAGUGGUUAACGAAUCCGACUAGGAACCACGAGGUGGCGGGUUCGGUCCCUGCCCUUGCUCAGUGGGUUAACGAUCCGGCGUUGCCAUGAGCUGUGGUGUAGGUUGCAGACGCGGCUCGGAUCCCGCGUUGCUGUGGCUCUGGCGUAGGCCGGUGGCUCCAGCUCCGAUUCGACCCCUAGCCUGGGAACCUCCAUAUGCCGCAGGAGCGGCCCAAGAAAUAGC